CCCCCCAAAAAGGAAAGUGUGAUAGGGGUUACCCAAAGUGUUCAAUUUGAACUGGGGGAGGUGAGUAAUGUCCCCCCUUUGAAAGGAGAGGGCAAGGGUGGUGCCAGCCGCCGCGGUAAAACCAGCUCUUCAAGUGGUCGGGAUAAUUAUUGGGCUUAAAGUGUCCGUAGCCGGGUUAGUAAGUUCCUGGUAAAAUCGGGUAGCUUAACUAUCUGCAUGCUAGGAAUACUGCUAUACUAGAGGGCGGGAGAGGUCUGAGGUACUACAGGGGUAGGGGUGAAAUCUUAUAAUCCUUGUAGGACCACCAGUGGCGAAGGCGUCAGACUGGAACGCGCCUGACGGUGAGGGACGAAAGCCAGGGGAGCGAACCGGAUUAGAUACCCGGGUAGUCCUGGCCGUAAACGAUGCAUACUAGGUGAUGGUACGGCCAUGAGCCGUAUCAGUGCCGUAGGGAAACCGUUAAGUGUGCCGCCUGGGAAGUACGGUCGCAAGGCUAAAACUUAAAGGAAUUGGCGGGGGA
rnacentral:rRNA from 1 species